rnacentral:tRNA from 1 species
GCUCAAGUGGCGGAACUGGUAGACGCGCUGGAUUCAAAAUCCAGUGACUUCGGUCGUGUGGGUUCGAUUCCCACCUUGAGUACCA